CCCGAGGUGGAGGUCCGAGUCUCCAAGAACCCCGGUCACACCAAGAAGAUGAACUUCUUCAAGGUGGGCAAAGCCUUCACCUUGGUGGACAUGCCGGGCUACGGAUA